rnacentral:lncRNA from 1 species
CCUUCCAAAUCGAUCACAAGCCUUCUAUUUCUUGUGAAGUUACAGCUGGAUUUCCAGAUGAAAUGAUUUGUUUAUGGUGGUAUUCUGGGGGCUAGUGAUAUGUAGAUGCUGAAUACAAAGUCCGAUCUUUUCAUCUUUUCCUAGGUGGUGGUUCCGCCUGUGAAUACAUGGAUUAAGUGUGGAUGUGCCUCCAAUUCUCUCCAGGACACUCACAAUACGUAUCAGUCCUAAGGUUCCAUAAGCUGUGGCAAUGCUCUGAUUAGUUUCUCCCAAGAAAAGAUUAAGUUCCUAAUUUUCUCAUUUCUUUUACAGUUUUACACCUG